GGGGAUGUAGCUUAGAUGGUAGAGCGCUCGCUUGGCAUGCGAGAGGUCUUGGGAUUGAUACCCCAUUCCUCCA
rnacentral:tRNA from 1 species